CUCCCCCCCCCCUCUCUCUCUCUCUCUCUCUCUCUCUCUCUCUCUCUCUCUCUCUCUCUCUCUCUCUCUCUCUCUCUCUCUGCCUCCACUUCCCAUUAACUCCCAUCCUCUGCCCUGAAUAAACUCUAUUCCAUAACAAAAAAAAAAAAGAAAAGAAAAAAGAAAAAAGUUCCAGGGAAAGGGAAGGGAGGUCUAAGGUCAUGUGGGAAAUGGGUAUUGGGCCUUUUAACUUUUUGUUAAAUUAAUUUUAAUUCGGAGGGUGACUAUUAAGGCACCAAUUUUAAAGAUGAGGGACUCUGAGACAUUUAUUUUUUUUAGUGAGGGCUGGUGAGAUUUCUGUGUGUUUUGGGGUGAAGGAGGGGUUAAGGAGGGUGGAGUUCAGGAAUGUCGGGGAAACAAAAAGAUCAUAUUGUUGUUUGGAAUAAGCAAGCCCGUGCAGUUACUGUGGUGGGGAGAAGGGGGGUUAUGUGUGGCCACCAGGUGAGUCAAACCUCCCUGAUUUAGGAGGGUCCUGUGUGUGGUGGGUGGGGGUGGACCAGUGUAUCCUAGAUGAGGUCAGACCUCACCUCUCAGGCUUACAUUUAAGUGCAAUUACUCUUUUUAAUCCAGGGCAUUUGGGGGUCCUACUAAAGUUUUAACGGAGAGAAAUGUUCAGGGUUCUUACUUUUCUCCUUUCCACCUGACAUGAUUACACUCUUUCCACCCUCCAUCCUCUGUACCAUCCCCAACUUACAGCCAGUGCCCCAGAGGACGGCCUCCAGGCCCCUUACCUCAUGCUGGCUUAAUUGAGAAUUGAAAAAGGUUUUCCUCAUACUGAGUUUUGUAAAUGAUAUAAAUUAUAUCUUUUUAUUUAGUUUCUAAGAUGGUGUUGAGCUCCAUGCUGUGCCUUAAGUAGAAGUACCUUCCCUCAUCACAGGUUUCCACAGUCACAGACCAACAGCAGGAAUUACCAUGGCUUUAUAGUGCACUUGGGAGGUGAUCCUGAGCCCAGAGCCGGUUCUCCGAGGUCAGGCUCUGGCUGUUCCUCCUUUCACUCCCAUGCCCAAGGCUCCAGGCACUUUAUUUUUCUUUCAAUAAAGGAGCAUUUGCGUAAUGAUCGUCUGUGAGUUACUCAGACACCUCUGGACUGUGUCCUCUCUUUCCAAGAGGCAGCACCCAGCCACAUAGCCAUAGGCAAGAGGACAAAAUUAGAAGCCAUUUUCUGCUCUGGAAACAUAUAUACCCUGGUUUGUUAAUAUUUUCUUCUUUCCCUCAAUCUCUGUCACUGCAGGCUCAAUGAGUCAUACUGGUCUCUGAACAUUUUGUGGAUACCCAGUCACAAGUUAUUGUGUAUUGCCUCCUGUGCUUCAGCGAGUUAACAAGUACUGCCAUGCUUUCGUGUAGCCUUCCUAUGCCCCUCCUUCCCUUGGCUGCGUGGGCUGGGGGUAGCGGAAGUGAUGGAAGCCGUCUAAGGACUGGGGUGGGAAGGACCUUGGCCUGUUUUUGUGUUUAUAACUGGAUCUGUGAUUCAUCCUGUGAGUCACUCAGCUCCGCCUUCCUCCUCCAGCUACCCCUCCCAGCAGCCCUUGCUCCUGGCACAAACCUGUAACUAGAGCGGGGGUCUGAAAAUGGAAAAAUUUGAUAGAGCUCCUUGCCUGUCAUCCAUCCCCUUUCCAUCCAGUGGACAUCUGCGAUCGUGCUGCAGGUGGUGAGAGUCUUCCUGUUAAGCUGUUGCUCAGCUACACCCGCUCUGUGCUGCUGGUUAGGUGAUGGUGAUCAGAUAGAUCACUUACCUCUCCGUGUUCUGACCAUUUCCUCUAUAUUCUGCUGUUCCCAUACCUCAAGAUAUUAAAGAACAGAAUGUGGCUCUUCGAAGAAAAGUGGGGAGAAAAACUCUGCUCGUGCUGGCUUCACUAUUUCCACAGUUGCAGCCAACAAAGAGAACUUUGGAAGCUGAGGCUGGGAGGAUGUGUGCUGUAGGGAAGGGACUGUUGAAUGUCGCCGCCCCCACCUAGGGAUUGCUGCCUCUGUACCGACUCAAAGACAAUAAAACAGCAGCUCAUUAACACCUA